CCUUUUUUCCCCUAGUAACCAGGCUCGUCCGCCAUUGUCCGUGAACGACGCAUUAAUUUUGCCGGUAGUUUAAUUCAUGAAAGUCAGUGAACAAGAUUUCUUUUGGAAGGACGACAAAAACAUUAUUACACAGAAGAAUUCAAUAAAAUAACCCUGAUGACUUUCACUAAUGAUGGAUAAUUUUCUAUUUCUACGACGAUGGAAAUGAUUCUUUCACUCUCAGGGAAGAUACCUUAUCGGAACCUGGCGAUAGCUCGUGAUUGAAAUAGUCGAGCACACUGUGGCACAAUUCUCCUUUUACUUCGUGUAAUUUUAUGUUGAAUGAAUUUUAUAUAAUUUUAAUCUAACCCU
rnacentral:misc_RNA from 1 species